rnacentral:rRNA from 1 species
AGUGAACGCUGGCGGUAGGCCUAACACAUGCAAGUCGAACGGCAGCACAGUAAGAGCUUGCUCUUACGGGUGGCGAGUGGCGGACGGGUGAGGAAUACAUCGGAAUCUACUUUUUCGUGGGGGAUAACGUAGGGAAACUUACGCUAAUACCGCAUACGACCUACGGGUGAAAGCAGGGGAUCUUCGGACCUUGCGCGAUUGAAUGAGCCGAUGUCGGAUUAGCUAGUUGGCGGGGUAAAGGCCCACCAAGGCGACGAUCCGUAGCUGGUCUGAGAGGAUGAUCAGCCACACUGGAAAUGAGACACGGUCCAGACUACUACGGGAGGAAGAAGGGGGGAAUAUGGGACAAGGGGGGAAAGCCUGAUCCAGCCAUACCGGGGGGGUGAAGAAGGCCUUGGGGUGGUAAAGCCCUUUUGGUGGGAAAAAAAAGCAGCAGGUUAAUACCCCGUUGUUCUGACGGUACCAAAAGAAUAAGCACCGGCUAACUUCG